GACGAACGCUGGCGGCGUGCUUAACACAUGCAAGUCGAACGGAAAGGCCCUGCUUUUGUGGGGUGCUCGAGUGGCGAACGGGUGAGUAACACGUGAGUAACCUGCCCUUGACUUUGGGAUAACUUCAGGAAACUGGGGCUAAUACCGGAUAGGAGCUCCUGCUGCAUGGUGGGGGUUGGAAAGUUUCGGCGGUUGGGGAUGGACUCGCGGCUUAUCAGCUUGUUGGUGGGGUAGUGGCUUACCAAGGCUUUGACGGGUAGCCGGCCUGAGAGGGUGACCGGCCAAAAUGGGACUGAGGUACGGCCCAGGCUGCUACGGGAGGCAGCAGUGGGGAAUAUUGCACAAUGGGCGGAAGCCUGAUGCAGCAACGCCGCGUGCGGGAUGACGGCCUUCGGGUUGUAAACCGCUUUCGCCUGUGACGAAGCGUGAGUGACGGUAAUGGGUAAAGAAGCACCGGCUAACUACGUG
rnacentral:rRNA from 1 species